CGGCAGAAGUUGUGUUUGGACGUUAACCUUACUACAGAUGUCCUACAAAUCAUAUUAUACCAUAAGUUAGAUUACUUCAUAGGUCACACAUCUAAAUAAUUCAAUGCAUUCAACCCGUGUAAAUUUAUGAGUUGCAAAUACUCAAGAUGGCAAAAUACACACAUUAUCAAAGACAUACCUUGUACAGGACCCAGUGCUUGAUAAAUUCUCAAGAAACAUUUGUUGAAUUAAACUCUCUAUGUUCAUUUCUGUUCUAAAGGAUGGUGUAUAGAAGGCGUUUUGAACUGUAAACUUUGCUUCAGUAGUUUGUUCUCACUUGGAUUCUGGGGACUUCUAUUAUUAAUUAUUAACAGAAAUUCUCUUGAAAUUAUUUGGAGAUUUCUGGUGAAUUAGAUUGCAGGAAUGUACAUGAUAAAAGUGGCAUCUGCCACAAGAAAAUAGCCUUUAACAGCGUCCCUCAAAACCUAUCUUCCCGUACUGGCUUCACCUCAUUCUUGCACCUCCAAAUACUCGAGAAACUCUUUGACAUUUCCCCCUCCC
rnacentral:lncRNA from 1 species